GACGAACGCUGGCGGCGUGCCUAACACAUGCAAGUCGAGCGGGGACUGCCGAGUAGUAAUACGAGGCAGUUCUAGCGGCGGACGGGUGAGUAACGCGUGAGCAACCUGUCCCAAACAGGGGGAUAACGAGUCGAAAGACUCACUAAUACCGCAUAAGACCACGGCAUCACAUGGUGCAGGGGUCAAAGGAGUAAUCCGGUUUGGGGUGGGCUCGCGUCUGAUUAGCCAGUUGGCGGGGUAACGGCCCACCAAAGCGACGAUCAGUAGCCGACCUGAGAGGGUGAUCGGCCACAUUGGAACUGAGAGACGGUCCAAACUCCUACGGGAGGCAGCAGUGGGGAAUAUUGGGCAAUGGGGGAAACCCUGACCCAGCAACGCCGCGUGAAGGAAGAAGGUUUUCGGAUCGUAAACUUCUAUCCUUGGUGAAGAUAAUGACGGUAGCCAAGAAGGAAGCCCCGGCUAACUACGUG
rnacentral:rRNA from 2 species